rnacentral:rRNA from 1 species
AACGAACGCUGGCGGCAGGCCUAACACAUGCAAGUCGAGCGCACCCUUCGGGGCGAGCGGCGGACGGGUUAGUAACGCGUGGGAACGUACCCUUUUCUAUGGAAUAGCCUCGGGAAACUGAGAGUAAUACCAUAUAAGCCCUUCGGGGGAAAGAUUUAUCGGGAAAGGAUCGGCCCGCGUUAGAUUAGAUAGUUGGUGGGGUAAUGGCCUACCAAGUCUACGAUCUAUAGCUGGUUUUAGAGGAUGAUCAGCAACACUGGGACUGAGACACGGCCCAGACUCCUACGGGAGGCAGCAGUGGGGAAUCUUAGACAAUGGGCGCAAGCCUGAUCUAGCCAUGCCGCGUGUGUGAUGAAGGUCUUAGGAUCGUAAAGCACUUUCGCCAGGGAUGAUAAUGACAGUACCUGGUAAAGAAACCCCGGCUAACUCCGUG